GAUGAACGCUGGCGGCGUGCCUAAUACAUGCCAGUCGAGCGAACAGACGAGGAGCUUGCUCCUCUGACGUUAGCGGCGGACGGGUGAGUAACACGUGGAUAACCUACCUAUAAGACUGGGAUAACUUCGGGAAACCGGAGCUAAUACCGGAUAAUAUAUUGAACCGCAUGGUUCAAUAGUGAAAGACGGUUUUGCUGUCACUUAUAGAUGGAUCCGCGCCGCAUUAGCUAGUUGGUAAGGUAACGGCUUACCAAGGCAACGAUGCGUAGCCGACCUGAGAGGGUAAUCGGCCACACUGGAACUGAGACACGGUCCAGACUCCUACGGGAGGCAGCAGUAGGGAAUCUUCCGCAAUGGGCGAAAGCCUGACGGAGCAACGCCGCGUGAGUGAUGAAGGUCUUCGGAUCGUAAAACUCUGUUAUUAGGGAAGAACAAAUGUGUAAGUAACUAUGCACGUCUUGACGGUACCUAAUCAGAAAGCCACGGCUAACUACGUG
rnacentral:rRNA from 1 species